rnacentral:rRNA from 1 species
UACGGAGGGUGCAAGCGUUAUCCGGAUUUACUGGGCUUAAAGGGUGCGUAGGCGGGCUAUUAAGUCAGUGGUGAAAUCUCCGGGCUCAACCCGGAAACUGCCAUUGAUACUAUUAGUCUUGAAUUUUGUUGAGGUAGGCGGAAUAAGUCAUGUAGCGGUGAAAUGCAUAGAUAUGACUUAGAACACCAAUUGCGAAGGCAGCUUGCUCAACAAAUAUUGACGCUGAGGCACGAAAGCGUGGGGAUCAAACAGG